ACAGCUCAAAUUUGAAAGCUGGCCCCCCCCGGGGGUCCGCGUUGUAAUUUGUAGAGGAUGAUUCGGCGAGGGCUCCCGCCUAAGUCCCCUGGAACGGGGCGUCAUAGAGGGUGAGAAUCCCGUAUGCGGUGGGCUGCCUUAGCCAUGUGAAUCUCCUUCGACGAGUCGAGUUGUUUGGGAAUGCAGCUCUAAAUGGGAGGUAAAUUUCUUCUAAAGCUAAAUACCGGCCAGAGACCGAUAGCGCACAAGUAGAGUGAUCGAAAGAUGAAAAGCACUUUGGAAAGAGAGUUAAAAAGUACGUGAAAUUGUUGAAAGGGAAGCGCUUGCAGCCAGACUUGCCCGCAGUUGCUCAGCCGGUCUCCUGACCGGCGCACUCUUCUGCGGCCAGGCCAGCAUCAGUUCGGGCGGUCGGAUAAAGGCCCCGGGAACGUAGCUCCUCUCGGGGAGUGUUAUAGCCCGGGGUGGAAUGCGGCCAGCCUGGACUGAGGAUCUCGCUUCGGCUAGGAUGCUGGCGUAAUGGCUGUAAGCG
rnacentral:rRNA from 1 species